UACGUAGGGGGCAAGCGUUGUCCGGAAUCAUUGGGCGUAAAGCGCACGUAGGCGGAUUGUUAAGUCAGGGGUGAAAUCCUGGAGCUCAACUCCAGAACUGCCUUUGAUACUGGCGAUCUUGAGUCCGGGAGAGGUGAGUGGAACUGCGAGUGUAGAGGUGAAAUUCGUAGAUAUUCGCAAGAACACCAGUGGCGAAGGCGGACUCACUGGCCCGGUACUGACGCUGAGGUGCGAAAGCGUGGGGAGCAAACAGGG
rnacentral:rRNA from 1 species